UAGUAACGGCGAGUGAAGCGGGAUGAGCUCAAGCUUAAAAUCUCCGUGCAAUUUUUGCAUGGCGAAUUGUAGUCUAUUGAGGCGUGGUCAGUAUGAGCACUUUGAGAAAGUUCUUUGGAAGAGGACAGCAUGGAGGGUGAUACUCCCGUUUAUCUCUUAGCUACUUGUGCGUACGACCCGUUUUCUUUGAGUCGCGUUGUUUGAGAAUGCAGCGCAAAGUAGGUGGUAAAUUCCAUCUAAAGCUAAAUAUUGGUGCGAGACCGAUAGCAAACAAGUACCGUGAGGGAAAGAUGAAAAGAACUUUGAAAAUAGAGUUAAAGAGUACCUGAAACUGUUGAAAGGGAACCAAAUCGUUUCCAGUGUCUAUAAUCAGUGGUAUAUUUCAUUGGCGAUUGUAUGCGUGCGUGUGCUGUUGUAGUGGCCUUUUGGUUGCGCUCAGCGCGUGUGUUGUGUAUGCUUGUUGGUGCCCUGUGCUGCGGUGGGACGUCAAGGUCAGUUCGUAUGCUGUGGGAAAUGGCUACCGAGGAGGUAGGGCUUACGCUUGCGUUUGUCUGUUAUAUCUUGGUAGACGAGUAGUCGCGGUUGGGACUGAGGUGCCUACAACGUGCUUUUGAGUUGACUUGGGUCUCUAUGUGCGCUGUGUGCGGAUAGCUUGCUAUGCGUGUGCGGUUGUGUGUAGAU
rnacentral:rRNA from 1 species